rnacentral:lncRNA from 1 species
CAUGGUGCAACCCCAUCUCUACUAAAAAUACAAAAGAAGUAGCCGGGCGAGGUGGUGCGCACCUGUAAUCCCAGUUACUCAGAAGCUGAGGCAGGAGAAUCGCUUGAACCCAGGAGGCGGAAGUUGCAGUUAGCCGAGAUUGUGCCACAGCACUCCAGCCUGGGCGACAGAGCAAGAUACCGUCUCAAAAAAAAAAAAAAAAAUCUCUGUUAUGUCAAUUUAAUUUGCAAUCCAAGUAAAGAACCUAGAAGGGUAGAGGGAAGCCAUUUUUCCCUCCCCUACAUUGCUAGUUCCAUGCCAAUGUGAGAGGACUCUGAGAAUGUGGAUGUCUGCCACCUGGAGAAAGAGUCUUAAUAACCUGGGCACUUGGCCAGGCACGGUGGCUCACACCUGUCAUCCCAGCAUUUUCAGAGGCAAAGGUGGGUGGAUCACCUGUGGUUAGGAGUUCAAGACCAGCCUGGCCAACAUGGCGAAACCCUGUCUCUACUAAAAAUACAAAAAUUAGCCAGGCAGGGUGGUGGGCACCUGUAAUUUCAGCUACUCAGGAGGCUGAGGCAGGAGAAUCACUUGAACCCAGGAGGCGGAGGUUGCAGUUAGCCUAGAUGGUGCCAUUGCACCCCAGCCUGGGCAACAAGAGCAAAAUUCUAUCUCAAUAGAUAAAUAAAUAAAUAACCUGGGGACUUGUAGCCUCUAUUGAAAGGUACCAGAAAAGGAUAAAGCCUGAGUUUUCAAGCCAGGAAGUUGCAAAUUCUAACUCUACCAAGAAGUAGCUGGGUGACCUCCAAGCCUCAGUUUCCUCAUCUUCAAAACCAGGUUAAUAGUGUCAGAGGCAUUUGAACCAGAGAGACUCCAUCUUGAAUAGGGACUGGGUAAAAUAAGGCUGUGACCUGCUGGGCUGUAUUCCCAGGAAGUUAAGGCAUUCUUCGAGGAUGAGAUGGUGGGGGUCAGCACAAGAUACAGGUCACAAAGACCUUGCUGGUAAAAUAGGAUGUAGUAAAGGAGCCGGCCAAAACCCAUCAAAAUCAAGAUGGCGACCAAAGUGAGCUCUGGUCGUGCCCACUGCUCAUUAUACACUAAUUAUAAUUCAUUAGCAUGCUAAAAGACACUCCCACCAGCACCAGGACAGUUUACAAACAUCAGGAAGUUACCCUAUAUGGUCUAAAGGAGGAGGAACCCUCAGUUCUGGGAAUUGCCCAUCCCUUUCGCGGAAAACUCAUGAAUAAUCCACCCCUUGUUUAGCAUAUAAUCAAGAAAUAACUAUAAUUAGUUGAGCAGCCCAUGCUGCAGCUCUGCCUAUGGAGUAGCCAUUCUUUACCUCCUUUACUUCUCUAAUAAAUUUGAUUUCACUUUAUGGACUUGCCCCAAAUUCUUUCUUGCGUGAGGUUCAAGAACCCUCUCUUGUGGACUGGAUGAGGACCCCACUCUGGUAACAAUAUACUUUUUGUCCAGUCACAUUUCUACAUGGCUGUCCAUACUCUGUUGAAUGUAAGCAUAAGAAUGGACAAUUUUGCUGUAUCUUUGGAUCUUCAUUCUGAAGGCUCCCAUGGCAUGUAAAACUAUGAUCAAAUAAAU